rnacentral:rRNA from 1 species
UACGGAGGGGGCCAGCGUUGCUCAGAAUCACUGGGCGUAAAGGGCUCGUAGGCGGUCUGAUAAGUCCUGUGUGAAAUCCCUUGGCUUAACCAAGGAACUGCGCCGGAUACUGUCGGACUAGAGGCCGGGAGAGGGAAGCGGAAUUCCGAGUGUAGCGGUGAAAUGCGUAGAUAUUCGGAGGAACACCGGUGGCGAAGGCGGCUUCCUGGACCGGUUCUGACGCUAAAAAGCGAAAGCUAGGGUAGCAAACAGG